rnacentral:lncRNA from 1 species
AGGGUGAAUCGUAAAUUUCCAGUCGUCAAAUGCGAUUCCCUGAUGUAUCGGCGCUACGUGCAUCAUCGGUGGUAUGCAGAUCACGGCCGGGCAUGAUCAUUACUCAUUUUCUGUAUUGCAAUUGUUGUGACGGACGUGGAAACAUAUGAAUAAAGCGAUGUUACAACACACAAAUAUUUAACGUGGUUCAUUCUCAGGGCUAAGAGCCUAAGAGCAUCUCCAACAAGCCCUUCAUUUUUAAUGGGUUCACCCUUAAAAUAAAGGGACGAAGGGCU